AGCGGCAAGAGCUCAAAUUUGAAAUCUGGCUCCCCACGGGGGUCCGAGUUGUAAUUGGGAGAGGAUGCUUCGGGACCGGUCCCCGUCUAAGUGCCCUGGAACGGGCUGUCAUAGAGGGUGAGAAUCCCGUCUGGGAUGGGUGGCCGGCUUUUGUGUGAAGCUCCUUCGACGAGUCGAGUUGUUUGGGAAUGCAGCUCUAAAUGGGUGGUAAAUUUCAUCUAAAGCUAAAUAUUGGCCGGAGACCGAUAGCGCACAAGUAGAGUGAUCGAAAGAUGAAAAGCACUUUGGAAAGAGAGUUCAACAGCACGUGAAAUUGUUGAAAGGGAAGCGCUUGCAACCAGACUCGCGCGGGGAGGUUCAACUGGCACUUGUGCCGGUGCAUUCCCCCCCGCGCGGGCCAGCGUCGGUUGGGACGGUCGGUCAAAGGCCCCCGGAAGGUAUCACCCCUCGGGGUGUCUUAUAGCCGGGGGUGCCAUGCGGCCAGUCUCGACCGAGGAACGCGCUUCGGCUCGGACGCUGGCGUAAUGGUUGUAAGCGGCCCGUCUUGAA
rnacentral:rRNA from 1 species